CCUACGGGCGGCAGUAGUGAGGAAUAUUGGUCAAUGGACGCAAGUCUGAACCAGCCAAGCCGCGUGCAGGAAGACGGCUCUAUGAGUUGUAAACUGCUUUUGUACGAGGGUAAACGCAGACACGCGUAUCUGUCUGAAAGUAUCGUACGAAUAAGGAUCGGCUAACUCCGUGCCAGCAGCCGCGGUAAUACGGAGGAUCCGAGCGUUAUCCGGAUUUAUUGGGUUUAAAGGGUGCGUAGGUGGUCGGUUAAGUUAGAGGUGAAAGCCCGAGGCUCAACUUCGGAAUUGCCUCUGAUACUGGUCGGCUAGAGAGUAGUUGCGGUAGGCGGAAUGUGUGGUGUAGCGGUGAAAUGCUUAGAGAUCAUACAGAACACCGAUUGCGAAGGCAGCUUACCAAGCUACUUCUGACGUUGAGGCACGAAAGCGUGGGGAGCAAACAGGAUUAGAUACCCGGGUAGUC
rnacentral:rRNA from 1 species